rnacentral:rRNA from 1 species
AUCCGGAGGGUGCAAGCGUUGUUCGGAAUUAUUGGGCGUAAAGAGCAUGUAGGCGGACUGUUAAGUCUGGUGUGAAAGCCCGGGGCUCAACCCCGGAAGUGCAUUGGAUACUGGCAGUCUUGAGUAUGGGAGAGGAAAGUGGAAUUCCGAGUGUAGGAGUGAAAUCCGUAGAUAUUCGGAGGAACACCAGUGGCGAAGGCGGCUUUCUGGACCAAUACUGACGCUGAGAUGCGAAAGCGUGGGGAGCGAACAGGAUUAGAUACCCUAGUAGUCC